rnacentral:rRNA from 1 species
UACAGAGGGUGCGAGCGUUGUCCGGAUUUAUUGGGCGUAAAGAGCGUGUAGGCGGCCAGGUAGGUCCGCUGUGAAAACUUGAGGCUCAACCUCGAGAUGUCGGCGGAAACCCCCUUGGCUAGAGUCCGGAAGAGGAGAGUGGAAUUCCCCGGUGUAGCGGUGAAAUGCGCAGAUAUCGGGAAGAACACCCGUGGCGAAGGCGGCUCUCUGGGACGGUAC